rnacentral:rRNA from 1 species
GUGGCCUACGGGACGCAGCAGUGGGGAAUAUUGCACAAUGGGGGAAACCCUGAUGCAGCGACGCCGCGUGAGUGAAGAAGUAUUUCGGUAUGUAAAUCUCUAUCAGCAGGGAAGAUAAUGACGGUACCUGACUAAGAAGCUCCGGCUAAAUACGUGCCAGCAGCCGCGGUAAUACGUAUGGAGCAAGCGUUAUCCGGAUUUACUGGGUGUAAAGGGAGCGCAGACGGCAAGGCAAGUCUGAUGUGACAGUCCGAUGCUCAACCUCGGGACUGCAUUGGAAACUGUCUGGCUAG